rnacentral:lncRNA from 1 species
UACGUGCACGAGGAACCUGUUGAGUACGCUUACGAGGAUCCAGCCUUCGACAACUCAGAGAACCUUGCAGGCAAGAUGAUCAUACCUUCGAAAUCAUUACUAUCUUUGCUUGCUAGUACUCGCUCUUUCGCUAUGUUAGCCCUACCUGCCAUUGUUUACCAUGCCUACCUAUUGCCAUGUUAAACCUCUAACCAUCCUGUCCUAGCAAACCCUUUGUCUGGCUAUGUCACCGCUUUUGCUCAGCCCCUCUUAUAGCAUUGUUAGUUGCAGGUGAAGAUGAAGUUUGUUCCAGGUCGGAACGUGAUUAUUCUGGGAUAUCACAAUAUCUCCUGUUUAUAUUAAUGCACCUUAUAUACUUGGUAAAGGGUGGAAGGCUCGGCCUUAUGCCUGGUGACUUGUUCCACUCUUGCCGCCCUAGUUUCCGUGAUACCGGUGUUAUGUUCCUUGAUUUUGCGUUCCUUACACGGUUGGGUGAUUUACGGGACCCCCUUAACAGUUCGCUUUGAAUAAAACUCCUCCAGCAAGGCCCAAACUUGAUUUUACCAUUUGCCACCUAAGCCCUUUUCCCUUGGGUUUUCGCGAGCCCAAGGGCCAUCUUUAUUUUAACCCCCCCCCCCCCGGGGCCAGUGCUCCUUCGAGUGUUGGUCCAAACUGAGUAGACUGCGGGGCCACCUCGGGGAAACUUGAGGGUUGGUUUUACUUGUAGGAUGUCUCAUUCGGUGUUGCCCUGAGAACGAGAUAUGUGCAGCUCCUAUCGGGAUUUGUCGGCACAUCGGGCGGCUUUGCUGGUCUUGUUUUACCAUUGUCGAAAUGUUUUGCGAACCGGGAUUCCGAGACUGAUCGGGUCUUCCCGGGAGAAGGUCUAUUCCUUCGUUGACCGUGAGAGCUUGUGAUGGGCUGAGUUGGGACACCCCUGCAGGGUAUAUAAUCUUUCGAAAGCCGUGCCCGCAGUUAUGAGGCAGAUGGGAAUUUGUUAAUGUCCGGUUGUAGAUAACUUGACACUUGACCUCUUUAAAAUGCAUCAACCGAGUGUGUAGCCGUGAUGGUCUCUUCUCGGCGGAGUCCGGGAAGUGAACACGGUUUGUGUUAUGCUUAACGUAAGUAGUUUCAGGAUCACUUCUUGAUCGCUUCUAGCUUCUCGACCGAUGCGUUGCUUCUCUUCUCGCUCUCAUUCGCGUAUGUUAGCCACCAUAUAUGCUUAGUGCUUGCCGCAGCUCCACCAUAUUACACCUUUCCUUCCUAUGAGCUUAAAUAGUCUUGAUCUCGCGGGUGUGAGAUUGCUGAGUCCUCGUGACUCACAGAUUCUACCAAAACAAAUGCAGGUGCCGAGGAUACUGGCGCAGAUGGCGCAACUGAGCUGAAGUGGGAAUUCGAUGAGGCCCUUGGUCGUUACUAUGUAUCGUUUCCAGAUGAUCAAUAGUGGGGCCCAGUCGGGACGAUCGGGGAUCUAACAUUUGGGGUUGUCUUCUUUUCAUUUGAACUUGGCCGUAGCCGGUCUAUGAGUGUAUUUGAAUGAUGUAUGAUCUUAAUUUAUGUAUUGUGUGAAGUGGCGAUUGUAAGCCAACCCUCUUUAUCCCAUUCUUGUUCAUU